GCAAGUCGAGGGGUAACAGGAAAGCUUGCUUUUGCUGACGACCGCCGCACGGGUGCGUAACGCGUAUGCAACCUACCUCAUACUGGAGGAUAGCCCUUGGAAACGAGGAUUAAUACUCCAUGUUAUCAUGAAUUCGCAUGUUUUUAUGAUUAAAGUUUUUCGGUAUGAGAGGGGCAUGCGUCCCAUUAGCUAGUGGGUGAGGUAACGGCUCACCAAGGCGACGAUGGGUAGGGGGCCUGAGAGGGUGGUC
rnacentral:rRNA from 1 species